rnacentral:lncRNA from 1 species
ACAGUGAAACGAGCUUGCAUGAGAGCAUCCCAGGACCACUGAACAUUCAGAGGGCUGGAGGCAGAGAAAAACUUCCCCUACUCAAGAAAAAGAAGCUAUUUUUGUCAAGUUAAAUGAGCCUGAACCUGCAGAGCUGAAUUGGCAGAUGAAUAUUGCUAAUUGGUGCAGUUUCUUCGGUGCAGGAAAGAGUUUCCAAUCAGACCGGCAAUUCAUUGGCCACAUGAAGCCUGUUUGGUGGUCUCUUCACAUGGAUGCGCAUGAAAUUUGGUGCUGUGACUCGGAUCCGGAGACCUCCCUUGGGAGAUAAAAUCCCCUGUCCUCCUGCUCUUUGCUCCGUGAAAAAGAUCCACCUACGACCUCAAGUCCUCAGACCCACCAGCCCAAGGAACAUCUCACCAAUUUUAAAUCAGCAAAAUGACAUGAAUGACUGAAAAAGCAUGUGGAGCACAAGACUCAAGAACUAAGUGAAAGGACUCACACUUCCUGAUUUCAAGUAAAGCUACAGCAAUCAAGACGUGGCAUUGAUGUAAGAAUAGACACAUCAAUGAAUGAAACAGAAUACAUCUUCCAGAAAUAAAUUCACACAAAUAUAGUCAAGAGGUUUUUUGUGUGCUAAAGUGUAUAUAAUAUUUACCAUUUUAACCAUUUUUAAGUGCACAGUUCAGAAGCAUUAAGAAUAAACAAUGUUGUAUAACCAUCACCAUUAUCCAGUUCCAGAAUUUUUCAUCACCUCACACAGAAACUCUGUACCUAUUAUCAACAAUAAAUUUUCAUUCCCCCCUUGCCCUCAGUCUCUGGUAACCACUAUUGAACUUUCUGUUUCUAUGAAUUUGCCCCUUCUCAGUGCCUAAUAUGAGUGGAAUAAUACAAUAUGGGUCCUUUGUGCCUAGUUUAUUUCACUUACUGUAAUGUUUUCAAGGUUCAUCCAUGUUAUAAUAUGGAUCAGAAUUUUAUUUCUUUUCAAGCAUGAAUAAUAGUCCAUGGUAUGUCUAUACCACAUUGUUUAUCCAUUCAUCAGCUGAUGGAUAUUUGGGGGUUGUUUCUAUCUUUUGGCUAUUGUAAAUGAUGAUGUUAUGAACAAUGGUGUAUAAUGUCUGUUUGAGCACUGCUUUGAAUUGUUUGGGGUAUAUACUUAGGAGCGGAAUUACUGGAUCAUAUGUCAAUUCUAUGUUUAAUUUUUGAGGAACUGUCGAGCUGUCUUUCACAGCAGCUGCAUAAUUUUACAUUCCCACCACAAUGCAUAAGAGCUUCAGUUUCUCAAAAUCUUUACCAACAUUUAUUUUUCUUUUUAAAAAUAUAUAAUAGCCAUACUAAUAGUAUAAAGUAAUAUUUCAUUGUGCAUUUGAUUUGCAUUUCCCUAAUGAUAACUGAUGUUGAGCAUCUUUUCACGUGCUUGUUGACCAUUUGUAUAUCUUCUUUUGAGAUAUGUCUAAUCAAGUCCUUUGUCCAUUUUUUAAUUGGGCUGGGUAUUAUUCUUCUGUUAUUGUUGAGUUGCAGGAGUUCUUUAUAUAUUCUGCAUAAAAGUUCCUUA